UACGUAGGGUGCAGGCGUUAAUCGGAAUUACUGGGCGUAAAGCGUGCGCAGGCGGUUUCUUAAGUCAGAUGUGAAAGCCCCGGGCUUAACCUGGGAACUGCGUUUGAAACUGGGAGACUUGAGUGUGGCAGAGGGGGGUGGAAUUCCACGUGUAGCAGUGAAAUGCGUAGAUAUCUGGAGGAACACCGGUGGCGAAGGCGGCAUUCUGGACCGAUAUUGACGCUGAGGAGCGAAAGCCAGGGGAGCAAACGGG
rnacentral:rRNA from 1 species